ACAGGGGCAAGUGUCCGCGUGGUGAAUCAGCUACUUACAGAGAUGGAUGGUCUGGAAGCACGCCAGCAGGUUUUUAUCAUGGCAGCCACUAACAGGCCAGAUAUAAUUGACCCUGCAAUCCUGCGCCCGGGCCGCCUGGACAAAACACUGUUUGUGGGUUUACCACCCGCUGCAGAUCGCCUUGCCAUCUUAAAAACUAUCACAAAAAAUGGUACCAAACCACCACUGGAUGCAGAUGUAAAUUUGGAAGCAAUUGCUGGUGACCUUCGCUGUGAUUGCUAUACGUGAACUCAAGAUUAGUCAUAAGCAUUUUGAAGAAGCUUUCAAGAAAGUAAGAUCAUCUAUAUCAAAAAAGGAUCAAAUCAUGUAUGAACGUUUGCAGGAGUCCCUCAGCCGGUGACAUCUCCAGCAGCCGGCUUAGAGGAGCUAGCCCAUCAAGCCGGCAGAGAAUCCCCCACACGCUCUGAAGGACCCGCUUUCAGCUGGACACAGGUGCGGCCUCAUGUAAAUAUUUUAUUUUCAAAUGAAUGAGGCCAAGCUGAAGCUGAAGAUUCUUCCCAUCUGGCCAGCCUUGUGUGAAAAUGCCUUCUUCCUCUUUAAGAAAAAGGAAAAUUUUUAAACUGCUGAAAUAAAAUGACUGUUACAUUUUUCAAAUAAAACUUUUACUUUGAACUAUUUUGACUAUA
rnacentral:sRNA from 1 species